rnacentral:rRNA from 1 species
AGUGAACGCUGGCGGUAGGCCUAACACAUGCAAGUCGAACGGCAGCACAGUAAGAGCUUGCUCUUACGGGUGGCGAGUGGCGUACGGGUGAGGAAUACAUCGGAAUCUACUUUUUCGUGGGGGAUAACGUAGGGAAACUUACGCUAAUACCGCAUACGACCUACGGGUGAAAGCAGGGGAUCUUCGUACCUUGCGCGAUUGAAUGAGCCGAUGUCGGAUUAGCUAGUUGGCGGGGUAAAGGCCCACCAAGGCGACGAUCCGUAGUUGGUCUGAGAGGAUGCUCAGCCACACUGGAACGGAGCGACGGUCCAGACUCCUACGGGAGGCAGCAGUGGGGAAUAUUCGACCAUGGGCGCAAGCCUGAUCCAGCCAUACCGCGUGGGUGAAGACGGCCUUCCGGUUGUAAACCCCUUUUGUCGGGAAAGAAAAGCAGCAGGUUAAUACCCAGCUGUUCUCACGGUCCCAAAAGCAUCAGGACCGGCUCACUUCGUG